AUUAAAUCAAGGAAGCAUACUAUAUAUUCAUGCUAAUCCUUAGAAUGUUCAAGAAGAACAAAUCAAAACCAAAAAAAUUGAAGAGCUCAAAAGCCCCUCUCGGCCGAACCCUAUAGGAAAAGAAAAAAAAAUUCCAAGCUUUGAUUCUAAUCUAAAAAUCUUGUUCUUCUCGUAUUCGUAGUGUAUGCAAGACGCUCUCCGAUGUGAUACAAUUAGUUCAGCAAGAGAGCGACGUUUGCGGCAAAUCGGAAUUUCAAGAAAGAGAUUCUGAGCGAAACGGGAUUUGAGUUUUGACGAGCGUGGGACGCUUAUAAGGUACAGACACCGGUGAUCCACUACUGUAGGCUCCACUUUCUGCUAUUUCGGAGUGCUCCCUCUUGACCCGGAGCCCACUUUUGGUACAUACAUCUUUUGCUAUGUAUAUACUUCUGUAUAUCGGACUAUUUGGGUACGGCGGGGCCCUGUCCCGUCAUAUGUCUUCGUUUUGUAUUUGUAGAGGCCUGUAGUCAUAUAUGUGGGUCGAGGGUCCUAUAUGUGUCUGUUUUGGCUAUGAUAUGUGUCUU